rnacentral:rRNA from 1 species
UACGUAGGGACCAAGCGUUGUUCGGAUUUACUGGGCGUAAAGGGUGCGUAGGCGGGUCUUUUAAGUCAGGGGUGAAAUCCUGGAGCUCAACUCCAGAACUGCCUUUGAUACUGAGGAUCUUGAGUUCGGGAGAGGUGAGUGGAACUGCGAGUGUAGAGGUGAAAUUCGUAGAUAUUCGCAAGAACACCAGUGGCGAAGGCGGCUCACUGGCCCGAUACUGACGCUGAGGCACGAAAGCGUGGGGAGCAAACAGGG